rnacentral:rRNA from 1 species
AUUGAACGCUGGCGGCAGGCCUAACACAUGCAAGUCGAGCGGAGCGGCGGACGGGGGAGUGAUACCUAGGCAUCUGCCUGGUAGUGGGGGAUAGCGUCCGGAAACGGGAGCUAAUUCCGCUUACUAUCAGCUGAGCCUAGGUCGGAUUAGCUAGUUGGUGGGGUAAAGGCAUACCAAGGCGACGAUCCGUAACUGGUCUGAGAGGAUGAUCAGUCACACGGGAACUGAGACACGGUCCAGACUCCUACGGUAGGCAGCAGUGGGGAAUAUUGGACAAUGGGCGAAAGCCUGAUGCAGCCAUGCCGCGUGUAUGAAGAAGGCCUUAGGGUUGUAAAGUACUUUCAGCGGGGAGGCGUUACCCGCAGAAGAAGCACCGGCUAACUCCGUGCCAGCAGCCGCGGUAAUAC